rnacentral:rRNA from 1 species
CCUUAGAGUUUGAUCCUGGCUCAGGAUGAACGCUAGCUACAGGCUUAACACAUGCAAGUCGAGGGGCAGCGGUAUCGAAAGCUUGCUUUCGGUAGCCGGCGACCGGCGCACGGGUGAGUAACGCGUAUCGAACCUGCCUCAUACUCGGGAAUAGCCUUGCGAAAGUAAGAUUAAUGCCCGGUGUUUUCAGAGUCCCGCAUGAGGCUUUGAACAAAGAUUUAUCGGUAUGAGAUGGCGAUGCGUCCCAUUAGCUUGUUGGCGGGGUAACGGCCCACCAAGGCAUCGAUGGGUAGGGGUUCUGAGAGGAAGGUCCCCCACAUUGGAACUGAGACACGGUCCAAACUCCUACGGGAGGCAGCAGUGAGGAAUAUUGGUCAAUGGGCGGAAGCCUGAACCAGCCAAGUAGCGUGCAGGAAGACGGCCCUCCGGGUUGUAAACUGCUUUUAGUUGGGAAUAAAACGGGGCUCGUGAGCCCCCUUGCAUGUACCAUCAGAAAAAGGACCGGCUAAUUCCGUGCCAGCAGCCGCGGUAAUACGGAAGGUUCGGGCGUUAUCCGGAUUUAUUGGGUUUAAAGGGAGCGCAGGCGGACCUUUAAGUCAGCUGUGAAAUACGGCGGCUCAACCGUCGAACUGCAGUUGAUACUGGAGGUCUUGAGUGCACACAGGGAUGCUGGAAUUCAUGGUGUAGCGGUGAAAUGCUCAGAUAUCAUGAAGAACUCCGAUCGCGAAGGCAGGCAUCCGGGGUGCAACUGACGCUGAGGCUCGAAAGUGCGGGUAUCAAACAGGAUUAGAUACCCUGGUAGUCCGCACAGUAAACGAUGAAUACUCGCGGUUUGCGAUACAGUGUAAGCCGCCAAGCGAAAGCGUUAAGUAUUCCACCUGGGGAGUACGCCGGCAACGGUGAAACUCAAAGGAAUUGACGG